CGGACCAAGGAGUUUAGCGUGUGCGCGAGUCACUGGGUGGAAAACCUAAAGGCGCAAUGAAAGUAAAGAAAGUCUCUGACCUUUGAGGGAAGAUGGGCGUCCGUCCUUCGCAGGCGGCGCCCCGCACUCCCGGGGCGUCUCUUUCUCUCACGAGUGGAGGCGCACCUGUAGCGCACACGCUGAUACCCGAAAGAUGGUGAACUAUGCCUGGCCAGGACGAAGCCAGGGGAAACCCUGGUGGAGGUCCGCAGCGAUUCUGACGUGCAAAUCGAUCGUCGGAGCUGGGUAUAGGGGCGAAAGACCAAUCGAACCAUCUAGUAGCUGGUUCCUUCCGAA
rnacentral:rRNA from 2 species